AGGCAGAAGGAGUAUUUCCAGCUGAAAGUGAUGAAGAGUCAACAGAGGCAGGAAGAGCUCUCUGCCCUCUCCUUAAAGGCGGAGCAUCUCCCUUUGUGAAGUGUGAUUUACAGUCCUCGGUCACAUAACGCAAGAGGGUAGAGGAAAAGGUUUCCUCCUCGACAGAUUGGCAGCACAGAUGGGAUGGGAUGGGACCUCCACUCCCUCUGGAGGCUGCAGCUGCAGUCUUGGGACAUCAGGAAAAAGCUGGCAGAAGGAGGAGAAUCACUGGGAAGAGCACAGGCACAGGUCCUGUGAGCCUGUUAUUCGAGGCAGCUUCAUGGACAGUAACCCUCAGGUACCAACUUCAACACCUUUGUUAUGCGACAAGCCAGACAGCUCCCUGGAGAAGGUCUUCCUUGCCCAGACAACGAACGGCCAGACCGUCUUCUGGGACCUUUGCACUCGGUCAGAGCUGGCCCAGUUGGAGAAUAUUAGGGCCUGGGAGAAGCUGUUUAGACCUGCACUCAGAGAGAACAUGAAACCACCUGAAGCCUUUGUAGAUGCUGUCUAGAAACAUUCCAGACCCACAGUGAACUGAACCAGAAGCUCUGCAGCACAGGAAUCUUUUAAUUUCUGCCUUAGUCAGAAAUCUUUCCAAUGCAAAAAAAGGUAAAUCCAGGGCCAGCCCUGUGGCCGAGUGGUUACGUUCACGUGCUCCGUUUUGGAAGCCCAGGGUUUGCAGGUUUGGAUCCGGUGCACAGACACAGCACCGCUUGUCAGGCCACGCUGCGGUGGCAUCCCACACAGGAGAACUAAGACUUGCAACUAGGAUAUACAGCUAUGUACUGAGGCUUUGGGGAGAAAAAAAAAAAGAAAAUCCAAAAUAGUGAGGUUAGAUG
rnacentral:lncRNA from 1 species